ACUAGUGAUUGAAACUGCGAAUGGCUCAUUAAAACAGUUAUAGUUUAUUUGAUAAUCGAAAGUUACAUGGAUAACCGUGACAAAUUACAGCUAAUACAUGCAGCAAGACCUCUAUGAGGUUGUAAUUAUUAGUAUUAAACCAAUUCCUUCGGGAAUGUGAUGAAUCAUAGUAAUCGAACGAAUCGCAGAAUUCUGCGAUAAAUCAUUCAAGUUUCUGCCCUAUCAGCUUUGGAUGGUAGUGUAUUGGACUACCAUGGCAAUCACGGGUAACGGAGAAUUAGGGUUCGAUUCCGGAGAGGGAGCCUGAGAAACGGCUACCACAUCUACGGAAGGCAGCAGGCGCGAAAAUUGCCCAAUCCUGAUUCAGGGAGGCAGUGACAAGAAAUAACAACUCUCAACUUUGUUGAGAAGUGUAAUGAGGAUAAUUUACAAACCUUACCGAAAGCAAUUGGAGGGCAAGUCUGGUGCCAGCAGCCGCGGUAAUUCCAGCUCCAAAAGCGUAUAUUAAAGUUGUUGCAGUUAAAAAGCUCGUAGUUGAAGUUCUGGCUGUAUUGGGCCUCUGCACUUGAUGCGGAGGAACCAGCAGUCAUCCGCUUGCAAAUACAUGUCCUUCCUUAACCGGUAGGCUGUAUAAGUAAGCACUUUACCUUGAGAAAAACAGAGUGUUCCAGGCAGGUUUGUCCGGAAUGCGUUAGCAUGGAAUAAUAGAAUAUGACUGAAGUCGAUUUAUUGGUUUAAGGCUUUAGUAAUGAUUA
rnacentral:rRNA from 1 species